GCCCGACAAAAGUUAACAGCUUGCAUCAGUUCCCUGAGAAGUUCUUACAAACCAAUCUCUUAAAAAUGAAACUAUUUCUGCCCUGUGCUGUUUUGCUGGCCGUGAUCGCUCUUUGCCAGGGAGUGCCAAAUGAUGCCAACAAUGCCAACAAGAAUGCCCGUACAGCAAAUGACGCAAACAACAACGCGGGAAAUUCGAAUAAUAACUGAGCUCAUGUCGUAAGCUGUGCUUGCUUCAUAAAUCAUUCGACAAUUUCAAGAAUGUAACAAACAUGCAGCAAAUAAAAAAUAUAUAAAAAAU